rnacentral:rRNA from 1 species
GACGAACGCUGGCGGCGUGCCUAAUACAUGCAAGUAGAACGCACAGUUUAUACCGUAGCUUGCUACACCAUAGACUGUGAGUUGCGAACGGGUGAGUAACGCGUAGGUAACCUGCCUGGUAGCGGGGGAUAACUAUUGGAAACGAUAGCUAAUACCGCAUAAUAUUAAUUAUUGCAUGAUAAUUAAUUGAAAGGUGCAAUUGCACCACUACCAGAUGGACCUGCGUUGUAUUAGCUAGUAGGUGAGGUAACGGCUCAUCUAGGCGACGAUACAUAGCCGACCUGAGAGGGUGAUCGGCCACACUGGGACUGAGACACGGCCCAGACUCCUACGGGAGGCAGCAGUAGGGAAUCUUCGGCAAUGGACGAAAGUCUGACCGAGCAACGCCGCGUGAGUGAAGAAGGUUGUCGGAUCGUAAAGCUCUGUUGUAAGAGAAGAACGGGUGUGAGAGUGGAAAGUUCACACUGUGACGGUAUCUUACCAGAAAGGGACGGCUAACUACGUG